UACGUAGGGGCAAGCGUUAUCCGGAAUUAUUGGGCGUAAAGAGCUCGUAGGCGGUUUGUCACGUCUGCUGUGAAAACUGGAGGCUCAACCUCCAGCCUGCAGUGGGUACGGGCAGACUAGAGUGCGGUAGGGGAGAUUGGAAUUCCUGGUGUAGCGGUGGAAUGCGCAGAUAUCAGGAGGAACACCGAUGGCGAAGGCAGAUCUCUGGGCCGUAACUGACGCUGAGGAGCGAAAGCAUGGGGAGCGAACAGG
rnacentral:rRNA from 1 species